rnacentral:rRNA from 1 species
GGAACGAACGCUGGCGGCAUGCCUAAUACAUGCAAGUCGAACGAAGGCUUCGGCCUUAGUGGCGCACGGGUGCGUAACGCGUGGGAAUCUGCCCCUUGGUUCGGAAUAACAGUUGGAAACGACUGCUAAUACCGGAUGAUGACGAAAGUCCAAAGAUUUAUCGCCAAGGGAUGAGCCCGCGUAGGAUUAGCUAGUAGGUGAGGUAAAGGCUCACCAAGGCGACGAUCUGUAGCUGGUUUGAGAGGACGACCAGCCACACUGGGACUGAGACACGGCCCAGACUCCUACGGGAGGCAGCAGUGGGGAAUUUUGGACAAUGGGGGAAACCCUGGAUCCAGCCAUCCCGCGUGUGCGAUGAA